rnacentral:lncRNA from 1 species
ACAGAACAUCUCACUGAACACAGAAGAAGGAGCAACCUCCAACUACACCUACAUGAGCACAACAACGUCAGAACGGAGCGUCGAUUGCCGGAAUGGAACCGUGACGGCGCAAGGAAGAAGAUGGUGGGAGGAGCCCGAAAAGAGGGCUCACCGGCGUUGAUGGGAAGGCCCGAUGAAGCCGGAGUUCUCGGGGAGGGGCGAAGGAGACGGCGUCGGAUCCUGCGUGGAGGAGGACGAGGUGGUGGCGGUGGCUGAUGAAGGUCGCCGGAGGGUCCUCCCGGAGUGGCCGUCGGAGGUGCCGGCGUCGUGGCCGCUGGAGGCCGGCGAGGGGAGGCCCUCCCCCUGGAGCCGCUCGAUGGGGAGGAGCGGAUUUGACCGGUGGGGAGGGGGUGAGGGCUCCGGC